rnacentral:rRNA from 1 species
AUUGAACGCUGGCGGCAGGCUUAACACAUGCAAGUCGAACGAGUGGCGGUCGGGUGAGUAAUGUCUGGGAAACUUCCUGAUGGUGGGGGAUAGAUACUGGAAACGGUAGCUAAUACCGAAUACCAUCGGCUGUGGUCAGAUGGGAUUAGCUGGUUGGUGGGGUAACGGCUCACCAAGGCGACGAUCCCUAGCUGGUCUGAGAGGAGGACAGGCCACACUGGAACUGAGACACGGUCCAGAAGCCUACGUGAGGCAGCAGAGGGGAAUAUUAGACAAUGGGCGCGAGCCUGAUACAGCAAGGCAGCAUGUAUGAAGAAGGCGGUCGGGUUGUAAAGAACUUUCAGCGGGGAGGCGUUACCCGCAGAAGAAGCACCGGCUAACUCCGUGCCAGCAGCCGCGGUAAUUC